rnacentral:SRP_RNA from 1 species
UCGGCCCCUCGCGACGCUAGAUCGAAAACCCCGCCAGGGCCGGAAGGCAGCAACGGUAUCGAUCGACGCGGGCGCCGAGGUCAGCCGG